CAAAGGAUUUCUCAUUCUCAUCUGCCAGUAUGGAAGCCCAUUUAUGCCACUGAAUAAAAAAGAAAGAAAGUGGCGAAUGAAACCGGAGAGAGCAGUGCGAGACCUCUGGCACGAUUCGCACGUUCCAAGUCCCAGAAUGCUUUGUGGAACGCCAUCACAGCAGGCAUCGGGAUCAAGGACAAAGACAAGCGGGGUAUCCUGAUUGACCCGCGGAGCCCGGAGGAGAUUCUAGCUGAUGACCUGCCCUCUGUCGACAGUCCUGUUGCCAUGGAGAAGACCGCCAUCAGGUUUGGAGGGAAUCACACAGUCACUCACACCUCGAUCAAUCAGUAUGGGCCGAUAUCUACUCUCAAUCAAUCGAUGCUGGUUCUGCGUUAACUGCUUUUGUGAAAAGUGCUUU